CAGCACCUCAAGUGGUCAGGAUGAUUAUUGGGCCUAAAGCAUCCGUAGCCGGCUCUGUAAGUUUUCGGUUAAAUCUGUAAGCUCAACGUACAGGCUGCCGGGAAUACUGCAGAGCUAGGGAGUGGGAGAGGUAGACGGUACUCGGUAGGAAGGGGUAAAAUCCUUUGAUCUAUUGAUGACCACCUGUGGCGAAGGCGGUCUACCAGAACACGUCCGACGGUGAGGGAUGAAAGCUGGGGGAGCAAACCGGAUUAGAUACCCGAGUAGUCC
rnacentral:rRNA from 1 species